CGUACGUACGUCAAAUGUUUCUAAUUUUCCUGAGAAUUUUUUAUCUCAUAAAGUGCACUUAAAUAAUUCACUAUUAUUGUUACUAAUUGUCAACAGUAAUUCGACUUAGAAAUAGGUCAAUAUAGCAGUAGUGAGUCCGUUUUCUGAGAAAAAAAUAACGAGAACAGUUAUAACAAAUAGGUAAUUUGUGUUAAAAUUUUAUUCUAGAUGUGCAACUUUUACGUCAUCACCGUGUUACUUGCCCUAACCAUAUCACCAACUUUAGCGCUUUCACCUAUAAGAUGUUUAUUUCUUUGUCCUCCCGGUUCUUGUCCGAUCAUCCCUGACUGUCCUGACGGGACGGUUUUAGGGCGUCAGUCCAUUUGUCAAUGUUGUCCUUCUUGUAUAAUACCCAGAGGAGGGAGUUGCCCAUUGGAACACUAUCCUUGUGAACUCGGUUUGAAUUGUUGCAAGGGACAAUGUGUAUAUGAUGGAAUAUUAUGCGAAUCUGAUUAACAUUAUUUGUGAAAAUAAAUAAAUAUUAUUAUGUAUUGUUUA